CUCAUUGUUCAAUUUUUUUACAGUGUCUAAAUCAAAUAACGCGGUUGAUUUUCUUCACUUCACAGGUGACUGGAUGGUGAAGACGUGCAAAGCUGCAGUCGGUGUCUGAACUCACCUGGGAUGUAAACGUCCCCGCGUUCAUGAUCCGGGAGUUCGCUCCAGUUCCGCUUCCCCGGGGAAACAUUCGCCUUCUUCACCAGAAAGGCCCGCGGCAUGUUUCACCCACGGCACGAAACUACACGAAUACCACACGACACGACACGACAGCCGGACCGGAGUUGAAAAAGAAGAAGUCGAAGAAGAAGGAGCUGCUGCUCCAGGAGGACUAACGUUGGAAAAGAAUGAAGACAGCGGAGAAGCGGAGACACACACACACACACGCGGACAGGUGAGAGCUCAG